UAUUGGAUCUUAUAGCUAGUUUGAUCCGCAAUUAUUUGCUCUUCCUUACUUUCUAGGUUUUUCAUGGAGCAGUAGAUUUUGUGUGGGAUGAGGUUUGGUGGUAGUAGAGACUACUGGUUCACUCAUUGCAGUUAGCGCUAUUCAUUCUCUCCGGUGAAAGCUUCAAGCAUUCCCUCCCUUCUACUACCCAUUUAUCGUCCUCGUCAAAUAAUUGCGCUAUUCCUCCUCGUCUCUCCGGUAAAACAUAAAACUGUCUGGUUGUUUUGGUGAGUGGGGCGAGAUCUGCCUGGGCAUUGCCUUUAUUUCUCAAAUCUCAUGUGGUUCGUUGCUAUUUGAUGCCAUGCCUGCUGCAAAGACGAAUCCUGAGCAUGGUCGCAUCGGAGGUGUAUUCAACAAGCUGCUUAAGCAGAUGGGAAAUCCGGUUGAUUUCGAACUUCCAGAUUGGUUUAGUAAAUGGAAGCCUACGCCUUACACCUUUAUAAAGCGUAAUAUAUAUCUCACAAAAAGGAUUAAAAGACGCCUUGAGGAUGAUGGAAUAUUCUGUUCCUGCUGCCUUUCACCUGGAUCUUCUAGAGUGUGUGGGAGAGAUUGUCAUUGUGGGAUGCUCCUCUCUAGUUGCUCCACUGGAUGUAAAUGUGGGAUUUCAUGCCUCAACAAACCAUUCCAGAGCCGACCUGUGAAGAAGAUGAAACUGGUGAAGACUGAGAAAUGUGGUUCUGGAAUCGUGGCGGAUGAAGAUAUCAAGCAAGGAGAGUUUGUAAUAGAAUAUGUGGGAGAAGUUAUUGAUGACAAAACAUGUGAGGAAAGGCUUUGGAACAUGAAACACCGUGGAGAGACAAACUUUUACUUGUGUGAAAUUAAUCGAGAUAUGGUAAUUGAUGCAACAUACAAGGGAAACAGGUCAAGAUAUAUAAACCAUAGUUGUUGUCCGAAUACCGAGAUGCAAAAAUGGAUAAUAGAUGGAGAAACAAGAAUUGGCAUAUUUGCGACUUGUGACAUAAAAAAGGGCGAGCAUCUGACCUAUGAUUAUCAGUUUGUUCAGUUUGGUGCAGAUCAAGAUUGCCAUUGUGGUGCUGUUGGCUGCAGGAGGAAGCUAGGGGUCAAACCUACCAAGCCUAAGAUGUCUUCAGAUGCUGCAUUGAAACUAGUAGCAUACCAGGUUUAUCAGAAUGGAGGAUUGCAUGUAGGGAGUUCAAAUGUUUGUACCCUGCGAGGAACAUGCUCCCAUAAUUGCAUUGGUGAAGUCAUUAGGAUAAUCCGCCCUAUGAAUGAGAGGUCCUUCGGAAUUAUUAAACAUUUUGAUAAUUUUUCCCAAAAACACUCGAUUAUGUUCGAAGAUGGUGCUGUCGAAUUUCUUGACAUGACAAAAGAAGAUUGGGAAUUUGUGACAUUGUGAUUUUAUUGUGGGCAAAUUUGAGAAAUAAAAUAAGAAAAAAAAAGCUUUUGUAUUCCAGUAACCUGGAUAAAAGGAAUAUUUAAGAGGGGAAUGACUUGUGAACUGAAUGGGGAUAACUGUGAAGCUUGCUUGUGGUCUGUGUUUUGACCAAGGGUGAUAGAAGAAGCCACUCAAGUGGGCUCUGUCCAUGACGUUUAAGGGUAACGCAUGGCUUGGACACACAGUGAAGUACAUUUCAGGAUUUUGCGGAAGGAAAGAUCACACAGAUGGUCACAAGCAAUUGCAACAUGUUACACUGUAUCAACUGCUUACUUGAUUGAGUGUUGCUCUCAUAAAUCAAAGAUCCAUCUGCCGUACACUUGACUGGCGAGAAUGUUAUACCAGACAGAAGAACAAUGGUUGUGUUCUCUCGCAAAAUGAGGAUUCGUCAUUCCGUGCACAGAGUUCACAAGAAUGGUUUACCAUUUUUUUCCUCUAAUGAGGAGUUUGUAAACUGAGUGCGUUGAUGUUCAAGGCACUUAUGUAAGGUGGAAAAUUUGGCUGGUAAGGGCAAACACCCCUGGAUUUGGGACUGAGGGUGUUGAUUAUGAUGCUGCCAAGCUCAAAAGGGGGUUACUAUUCUUAAUAUCGUUGUUGUUGUUACUGGAAUGCACCCAUGCAUGUUACAUAUAUGCGAUUUGUAACUUUGUCAAUUGAA